UUUUAUAUUAAUUUUCAGAUAUUUUAAUAAUGGAAUUUAUAUGUUUUGAUGUAUUAUUUUUAAAUAUAUUUUUAACGUAUAAAUGGAAGAGUGAGAGUUGCAGAGAGCGUUUGGAGGAGGAGCGUUUCAAAAGCUUUGGUGGGGGUGGGGGUGAGAAUACGAAGGAGAGGAAUCUGAGUCUGUGUGUUUUGACCGAGGAAUUGUAAAAGAGUAGGUUAACUUUAGUAAAUAGGGGUAAAACGGUAAAAAUAAAAAAAAAAAACAUAAAGGUUAAUUUUGUAUUUAAAAAAAAAAUCAAAAAAAAUUGGGGGGUGGAGGUUGGGAUUGGGGAGGUACAGGGAGUAACUCCUUAAAAGUUAUUAGUUUAUGGAUAAAUGAAUAAUUUGAUUUAUGUUAAUUUAACUUUUAAAAGAAUAAAAUAUUUAUAUUAAUAUACAAACAAAUCUUGUCAUUAUAUUUUAGGUUAAAUACAUUCAGUGGUCUUUUUGCUAGUUUUCUUCAAUUAGGUCCCCGUUUUUUAAAAAUUAUCAAUUUAGUCCCUAAAUUUGAAAAAUCAAAUCAAUCAAGGACAUUCCGUUAACUGUGUUAAAUAUGGACUUUGCUGGCAAGAGUAGCUAUCAUACUGCAGACAGAUGGCACAUAUAUGUUUAUGACGUGGACUUAAAUGAUUUUUUUAUGCAUAAAAUUGAAGAGACACGUGAUUUCAGUAGUUUUCUCUUUAAUUACUUUUAAUUACAUAUUCUUUAAUUACUUUUAAUUAUUCUCUUUAAUUACUUUCAAUUAUUAGGAUGAGUAAUUUUCUCUUUAAUUACUUUUAAUUAUUCUCUUUAAUUACUUUCAAUUAUUAAGAUGAGUAAUUUUCUCUUUAAUUACUUUUAAUUAUUCUAAAAUCCCAAUCAGAUUUUGAACCCUAAAUUAGUUUCCUGAUACUAACUAUUCACGCAACUCAUAUUUGAUUUCUCCCAAAAUCUUUGAGUGCUUCUCUGGCAAACAAUAGGUUCUUUUCCUUUCUUUUGUUUUGAUCCAUUAAUCAAAAGCUUCAAGCUUUUUCCUUUUCUCUUCAUCAUGGGUGUUGAAUAUAACAAUGGACAAACCAACUUGGAGAAUUAUCCAGGGCGUGCUGAUGGCAUGGCGAUGAUGCUAGGAAGGCGUGUUUCAGGCGAGGUUCACUAUCGUGCAGUGAACCAUGGCUAGGAGGUUUUCGUUCCUCCUUUCGACCUAGUGCGAGUUCGUCUGGCAGAGAGAGUAGGCAUUACCCCAUUCUUUAUCUUUUUCUUGGUUCUGCGUGGGAUUUUGCAAGGAGGGGAUACGAAUUCCGGUUGGUAGGGCGUGUCCUCCCUUCUCGUGGCAAGGUGAGUGUUGUAGUGGCAGGAUUGAUUUUCCGGCGAUGAUGCGGCAAGGGUUUUGAUUUAGGAUUAGGGUUCCGAGUUACGAUUUAAGGUUUCCUUUUGCCUCUGUUAUUCAUGACUGUGAUUCUUGAUGGUUAUGAAAUGAAACUUUUGGGGCUUAGGGUUUCUGAAAUUGNGAAAUGGGAAUUCUGGUCUGGGAAAUCUUGUUUCUUGAUUUAGUUGUGUUUUUUAUUGGGGUUUGGGAUUCUUUGUGGUGGUUUCCAUCUUAAAAGUGGCCUGCAAUGACGGACACCGAUUUGCACUCGUUUUAGACUUGAUGGCAUUGGCUCUGGUUCCUUGCUCUGGUGAUGUCAAAGUUUGGUUUCUGAUUAAACUUUGCGACAAAAACAUUAAAAAUAAGAAACCACUGAAAUGUGUCUCUUCAAUUUUAUGCAUAAACAAAUCAUUUAAUCCAUGUCAUAAACACAUAUGUG
rnacentral:lncRNA from 1 species